GAUGAAGAACGUAGCGAAAUGCGAUAAGUAAUGUGAAUUGCAGAAUUCAGUGAAUCAUCGAAUCUUUGAACGCACAUUGCGCCCGCCAGUAUUCUGGCGGGCAUGCCUGUUCGAGCGUCAUUUCAACCAUCAAGCCCCCGGCUUGUGUUGGGGACCUGCGGCUGCCGCAGGCCCUGAAAACCAGUGGCGGGCUCGCUAGUCACUCCGAGCGUAGAAAUACAUCUCGCUCAGGGCGUGCUGCGGGUUCCGGCCGUUAAAAAGCCUUAUUUACCCAAGGUUGACCUCGGAUCAGGUAGGAAGACCCGCUGAACUUAAGCAUAUCAAUAAGCGGAGGA
rnacentral:misc_RNA from 1 species